rnacentral:rRNA from 1 species
CCCUUAGAUGUUCUGGGCCGCACGCGCGCUACACUGACAGAGCCAACGAGUCCUUUGCCUUGGCCGGAAGGUCUGGGUAAUCUUGUUAAACUCUGUCGUGCUGGGGAUAGAGCAUUGCAAUUAUUGCUCUUCAACGAGGAAUGCCUAGUAAGCGCGUGUCAUCAGCAUGCGUUGAUUACGUCCCUGCCCUUUGUACACACCGCCCGUCGCUACUACCGAUUGAAUGGCUCAGUGAGGCCUUCGGACUGGCUCGGGGAGGUUGGCAACGACCACCCCAAGCCGGAAAGUUCGUCAAACUCGGUCAUUUAGAGGAAGUAAAAGUCGUAACA